UACUGCAUUUUUUCUUACACAUGUGUUUUUCUUUUUUUGAAAACUUUGCUUUGGUAGGCCUUCUAUAUGGGGCCUGCCAGAGAUUAAACUCAACCAAAUUUUAUUUAAUGUCAACCGAUUAUUUAAUAGUCAAAACUUUCAACAACGGAUCUCUUGGUUCUCGCAUCGAUGAAGAACGCAGCGAAAUGCGAUAAGUAAUAUGAAUUGCAGAUAUUCGUGAAUCAUCGAAUCUUUGAACGCACAUUGCGCCCUUUGGUAUUCCAAAGGGCAUGCCUGUUUGAGCGUCAUUUCUCCCUCAAACCCUCGGGUUUGGUGUUGAGCGAUACGCUGGGUUUGCUUGAAAGAAAGGCGGAGUAUAAACUAAUGGAUAGGUUUUUUCCACUCAUUGGUACAAACUCCAAAACUUCUUCCAAAUUCGACCUCAAAUCAGGUAGGACUACCCGCUGAACUUAAGCAUAUCAAUAA
rnacentral:rRNA from 1 species